AUUGAACGCUGGCGGCAGGCCUAACACAUGCAAGUCGAGCGGUAACACAGAGGAGCUUGCUUCUUGGGUGACGAGCGGCGGACGGGUGAGUAAUGCCUGGGGAUCUGCCCGAUAGAGGGGGAUAACUACGGGAAACUGUAGCUAAUACCGCAUAAUGUCUACGGACCAAAGUGGGGGCUCUUCGGACCUCAUGCUAUCGGAUGAACCCAGGUGGGAUUAGCUAGUUGGUGAGGUAAUGGCUCACCAAGGCGACGAUCUCUAACUGGUUUGAGAGAAUGACCAGUCACACUGGAACUGAGACACGGUCCAGACUCCUACGGGAGGCAGCAGUGGGGAAUAUUGCACAAUGGGCGCAAGCCUGAUGCAGCCAUGCCGCGUGUGUGAAGAAGGCCUUCGGGUUGUAAAGCACUUUCAGCGGGGAGGAAGGGCUACUAGUUAAUACCUAGUGGCAUUGACGUUACUCGCAGAAGAAGCACCGGCUAACUCCGUGCCAGCAGCCGCGGUAAUACGGAGGGUGCAAGCGUUAAUCGGAAUUACUGGGCGUAAAGCGCACGCAGGCGGUUGGAUAAGUUAGAUGUGAAAGCCCCGGGCUCAACCUGGGAAUCGCAUUUAAAACUGUCCAGCUAGAGUCUUGUAGAGGGGGGUAGAAUUCCAGGUGUAGCGGUGAAAUGCGUAGAGAUCUGGAGGAAUA
rnacentral:rRNA from 1 species